GGACCUUAUGUAUGCACUAGACUGACGUGUCUUUUCACAAUGGUUGAGAUAAAGGAUCCGAAUUCGCUCGAUUCUCAAGCGAUAGAUAACCGAUUGCUUAUUUUACCGGCGAUCCUUAUUAUUGCCUUAAUAGGAGUUGUUGUGUUUGCGCUCGUAAAAUUGCAAACGGGCAAGAAAAAGGCAAAGGAACAGAAGAAGAAGCUGAAAGAAGAGCGGAAAGAAAGAGAGAAGAAGAAGGGACGAUAGAAUGUGCACUAGACUGAAUGUUUUGGUCACUUUUUCGUUGCCAUGUAGGGAUUUUUAUUGCAAUUCUAACGAAAAAAUUAUGUGAGGUAUUAUAAAUAACGUA